rnacentral:lncRNA from 1 species
CACGGGGAUGAAACCUCUUCUUCUCCUUCUUUAACAAAAACCUAGCUGAACCUGGGUACAUUCAGUCGCCGCCCGACUAGAAGCCAAGCACCACGACCUCACUUGACAAAAACCAGAAGCCACCCAUCUCCUUCACCUUCUGCCACCUCUAUCUUCAACCCAAAAAACUCGCCGGAAAACGCCCCUUCAACACCAGCCUCGUCAACCUUCACGUGAACCAGCCGCCUCUCCCUCCUCACAUCCAAGCCACAACCAUCGUCAAACCUCCAAUCAGCCUGUCACGUCGUCGACCAGCGACGCGUCCAAUCGACCACCGCCUCCCCGUCGUCGUCAAAUGGACAGUCAUCUUCCUUCACCUCCCAGCUCACCAUCGAUCCUCCAGCCCCACUUCACGCCCGAACUAGUCGUCAAAUAACCAGAACAAACCAGCGGCAUCAAUUGGAACACCCACGAGCCACCAUCGCAAAUAAACACCGGAAAACAUUCACUCACGACCACCCCGUCUCUUUUCUCCCUCAUAUCCAUCGUUUAAGCUCAGCCACACACACAUGAGAGGGGAGAAAUAGUGACGUGAACACACUUAUGAAUAUCAUAAAACAAAAUAGAAAUUUAAAAAAAAAUGUUCUGCUUAUUAACUUUUCAAUUCCUGAAUUUGUUCAAAGAUGAAUUUUGAAUAAAACUUGGGUUUGAUCCGUGUUUGGUUGAGUUUUUCCAGUGUCGAUUGAUGAUCGGGUGUGAUUUGACGAAAAUGGUUUGUUGAGGUGUUGGAGUUCGAGUCCCAGUGCCGAUUUGAAUUUCCGUCCGCGAUUCGUCAUAUUCUCAAAUUCAAGGUUGUGGCACAAUUAAAUUUCAGAUUUAACGAGGUCCAUCUCUCCCUUGUUUUGCUGAUUUGCUUAAUAUCACAUUUUCCUUACUUCGUUGAUAGUCACUUAUCUGCCUUGUUGAUCGUUUGAGUUUUUGCUCUAUUGUUUUUUUCGGAUUGUCUCACUAAUGCUUGCUUACUCUGUUCUGUUCUGUUGAUCAUCAUUUUGGUUGUGCCCUUGUUUAAUCUGUUUGGAUGGAAUUCUGAUUGUUUGAGUUAUGGGAAUUAGAUUUUAAAACAUGGAGGGAAUUGGGAUUGAAUAAUUUUAUUUCUAUCUUAUUCUUACUCUAAUAAAUUUGAUCGAUAGUAGCAUGCGUAGGCCGACUUCACCUAGGUAGGCAAACUUUAGAAUUUUUGUUAAUUUGAGGCGAGAGGUCGUUCCCGUAGUUAAAUUUAUCCGGAAAAUGUCCCAUGAAGUUUGUAUAUAUUAUUAUUUGGGGUAUGCCCGAAGUGAAUGUAAAUGAAGGCCAAAGACGAAGUAACUCGAGGAAGCAUAGAAUAGUACUUUAUUUUUCUUUUGUUUUUCCUUUAUUAGGUGGGACGACCUUGAGCCUCUUUGAUUUUCUUAGUUUCGUGUUUUCGCCUCAAUUUGAAUAUUUUAAAAGCCAACAAGAUCAAGUACACAACCGUGACCUUCACGGAAUUUGGGGAGUACCUAACACCUUCUCCUCGAGUCAAAUGAACCCCCUUACCCUAAUCUCUAGUGUAGACUUAGUUUCAGAGUUCAAAAUGUUCUAAAAGGAAAAAUCAUUUAAGAAAAAAAUGGUGACCUCGCACACUGAAAUUAAAUGUCAGGUAAUGAUUCUGAGUUUAUUUUCUUUUGAAACACAAUUUUGUCACUUUUCAAAUUGAAAACCCUUUUCAAGCUUUUACUAAAAUCUUUUUAUCUAUUUAAAGAGGGUUUAGUGAGAGUUUGGUUUUGAAAAAAGGGGUGUGACAUCUUUGGCGACUCUGCCGGGGAGUUGCAGGUUCGAGCUAGUAUUUGAUCUUGUUGGCUUUUAGGAUUUUCGAUUGAGGUUUUUUUGUGUUUUGUUUGCUUUAUUUUAUUUUUAUUUUUGUUUAUGUCGUUUUAAUUGGUUAUUUGUUUACGUAUUUUUGCUUUAUGUGUUCACUGCUUUAUAACUGUCAUCAUUUGCAUAACCCGGUCAAUUCUUUCUGCAACAAGUCUCGGAGCACGCGCCGCGUGCACGAACUCUUUAUUGAGUCACCCUUAAUUUAGGAGGGGGGUCUGUCGGACGUAUGUAGUGGGGUGAAAGCUUGAGCAGCCACUAUCGACCAUACGCUCCCCAGAAUUUCCUUGUUUGUGAACCCGAAACUUAGGUCUGCCUCAGGUCAUUUCUAUUUGCAUCAUAUGAUUUUCACCUAGUAGGGCUCGGUCCCAGGUAUUGUGUCCCUUUGUAGGUAGCUUGCCCAAAUUUUGUCAAAAAUGGGCCCGUGGAAAAAAAAUGACAUCUAAUAAUCCUUUUUGCUAAAUGUUACCUCUCAGAGGAUAAAAAGGUCAUUUGGCGGACCGAUAUUUGGAAAGAAAGGUGAAAAAUAAAGAAAGUAGGGCCCACCCAGAUUUUUCUUUCAUAGUUUUCCAAAAAUCAAAAAAUGAAAAUGAGAAAAUCCAAAAAGAUUUUACACUCUUCCAUUAUUUUUAAAUAAUUCAAAAAAAAAGUAGAAAAUGAAAAUCCAAAAAAUAUUUUAUACUUUUCCAUUAUUUUCCAAAAACUCAAAAAAAAAGAAGUAGAAAAUAGAAAAUCCAAAAAGAUUUAACAUUUUCUGUCAAUUUCAAAAAAUUCAAAAAAAAGGAGAAAAAGAAAAUCCAAUAAGAGUUUACAUUUUUCAUCGUUUUCGAAAAAAGACAAAAAUAUAAUUUUUUCAAAUUAAUUGCAUUUUUCCGAACUACGCGAACCUGAUUUUCAUCUUUCUAGGUGAGAUACGUAGGCAACCUAUUUAUAGGAAUGGUCUUCCUAGUAUUAGGUGCUUGGCUUUGUGGGGUCUUAGCCAAACCUUGCAUGUCUAGCCACUUUAGGCCACAUCGACCAUUGCUUCAAAAUGGGGUCAUUUUCGUAAAAGUGGUUCAAUUACCCAUGUACUAAGGUCCACAACUAGGUGUCAUAGUACUUUAAGGUCCUUCAUAUUUGAGUUUGUAUUUUUAGCCACAUUUGGCCAUAAAGGCCAUUUUUGCACAAUGGGCCAUUUUCGCAAAGUAAUUUUUUUUAAGGCCAUUAUUGUUGAGAUGUAAGAGUCAAUGAGUCAUGCAUGCUUUAAAUGGAUUAUUUUUCAUGCAUUAGAGGGUCAACUUUUUCAAGUUUGCACUAAUAGCCACUUUCAGUCACUUUUGGCUACGUAAGCCUUUUUGCAAAAAUAUCUUUAAUCAUGCCUUGCAUGUGUAUAAAAGAAGGUGUUGUGGUGUUACACGUGUCUUGAGUCACUACCUCUAUUUGAUCAUAUUUUUCGCAUUCAGGUAUGGAGGAAUUUGCUAGAGUCUGAGCAUGAGAACCCCAGGACCACUGCAUCUAGGAGCUGCUUAUAGAUACUUUUAUGUUUUGAGUAUGUCAUUCAUGUUGUCUUUUAAUUAUUAGUCUCGUACAAAAGUAUCGAUUCUGUCAGUCUAGGUAAGAUUUUCGAGUCUUUUGUUACAUUACUUCCCAUUUGUAUAUGACAAAUAGUCAUAAAUGAAAAAUUCAAAAAGACUUUUAUUUCUUAGUUUAUUUUGUCCAUUACGUUUUAAGAACUACGCUUGAUCUGAUUCAUGAGGGACAUGAUACAUAGGCAACCUACAUAGGGUUCGAU